rnacentral:rRNA from 1 species
UACGGAGGGAGCUAGCGUUGUUCGGAAUUACUGGGCGUAAAGCGCACGUAGGCGGAUUGCUAAGUCAGGGGUGAAAUCCUGGAGCUCAACUCCAGAACUGCCCUUGAUACUGGCGGUCUCGAGUCCGGGAGAGGUGAGUGGAACUGCGAGUGUAGAGGUGAAAUUCGUAGAUAUUCGCAAGAACACCAGUGGCGAAGGCGGCUCACUGGCCCGGUACUGACGCUGAGGUGCGAAAGCGUGGGGAGCAAACAGG